rnacentral:rRNA from 1 species
UACAGAGGUCCCAAGCGUUGUUCGGAUUCAUUGGGCGUAAAGGGUGCGUAGGUGGCGCGCUAAGUCAGGUGUGAAAUUUCGGAGCUUAACUCCGAAACUGCAUUUGAUACUGGCGUGCUUGAGGACUGGAGAGGAGACUGGAAUUUACGGUGUAGCAGUGAAAUGCGUAGAGAUCGUAAGGAAGACCAGUGGCGAAGGCGGGUCUCUGGGCAAUUCCUGACGCUGAGGCGCGAAAGCGUGGGGAGCAAACGGG